rnacentral:rRNA from 1 species
AGCGAACGCUGGCGGCGUGCUUAACACAUGCAAGUCGAACGUGAAAGGGAGCAAUCCUGAGUAAAGUGGCGUACGGGUGAGUAACACGUGGGUAAUCUACCCCAGAGUCUGGAAUAACCUGCCGAAAGGCGGGCUAAUACUGGAUAGAGCGAUGAAAUCCGUAAAUGGGUUUUUCGGGAAAGGGAGGAAGCAAUUCCCCUUGCUCUGGGAUGAGCUCGCGCCUCAUUAGCUAGUUGGUGGGGUAAUGGCCCACCAAGGCUAUGAUGAGUAGCUGGUCUGAGAGGAUGAUCAGCCACACUGGAACUGAAACACGGUCCAGACUCCUACGGGAGGCAGCAGUGGGGAAUCUUGCGCAAUGGACGAAAGUCUGACGCAGCCACGCCGCGUGAGUGAAGAAGGCCUUAGGGUUGUAAAGCUCUGUCGAGUGGGACGAAAACUCAGAAGGUGAAUAAUCUUCUGAUCUGACGGUACCACUAAAGGAAGCACCGGCUAACUCCGUGCCAGCAGCCGCAGUAAAAC